AUUGAACGCUGGCGGCAGGCCUAACACAUGCACGUCGAGCGGAUGAAGGGAGCUUGCUCCUGGAUUCCGCGGCGGACGGGUGAGUAAUGCCCAGGAAUCUGCCUGGUAGUGGGGGAUGACGUCCGGAAACGGGCGCUAAUACCACAUACGCCCUGACGGAGAAAGUGGGAGACCUACGGAGCUCAUGCGUUCAGAUACGACUAGGUCGGUUUACCUAGUUGGUGUGGUAAAGGCCUACAAAGGCGACACUCCGUAACUGGUCUGAGAUGAUGAUCAGUCACACUGGAACUGAGACACGGUCCAGACUCCUUCGGGAUGCCGCAGUGGGGAAUAUUGGACAAUGCGCGAAAGCCUGAUCCAGCCAUGCCGCGUGUGUGAAGAAGGUCUUCGGAUUGUAAAGCACUUUAAGUUGGGAGGAAGGGCAGUAAGUUAAUACCUUGCUGUUUUGACGUUACCAACAGAAUAAGCACCGGCUAACUUCGUG
rnacentral:rRNA from 1 species